AUGUCUAUAUGCACCCUCGUAUUUAUCUACAUCAAAUUCGAUAAUUUGCAUACAAAGUGUAAAGCAUGGUAGCAAACAGGGUGUUGAGGAAACGAUGUGUCUACUCGUGUGCGCGAGUCGAGUCGGGCUCACCGAGUCGUGUGCUGUUUGCAUAUAAAUUAUAUACGUGUUUCCGUUGGUCCCGA
ensembl:ncRNA ZK867.13 ncRNA